UACAGAGGUCUCAACCGUUGUUCGGAUUCAUUGGGCGUAAAGGGUGCGUAGGCGGUCGCGUAAGUCGGAUGUGAAAUCUCAGGGCUCAACCCUGAAACUGCAUUCGAUACUGCCUUGCUUGAGUACUGGAGAGGAGACUGGAAUUUACGGUGUAGCAGUGAAAUGCGUAGAUAUCGUAAGGAAGACCAGUGGCGAAGGCGAGUCUCUGGACAGUUACUGACGCUGAGGCACGAAGGCCAGGGGAGCAAACGGG
rnacentral:rRNA from 1 species